UGGCACUGAAUCUGAAUCCUCCAUCCGAUCAGGGAAUAAAAAAUAACAUGGUAGAGACCAAGGAGGAAUCGUGCUCCCAGUCGGCGGAAUGCCAGCGGGAGCUAAAAGGCUUGAAGAAGCGACUUCUUCGGGCUGAGGCAAAUGCCUAUCUACUGGCCAAACACCUUCAAGAACAUCGAUGUGAAGGGUAUAAAGAUCUGAUUGAAUCCCUGCUGAGGGAGAAGCCUCAGUUUCUGGCAGAAGAUCUGAUGUCUGCGGAGAACAGAAACAAAUGCUGUGUUCCAAUUCAAGAUCUGCCGCAGUCACAGGAGUGGAGAACUCUUUGUCUCCUUAU